AGAUUGGAAGCCCAUAAAAAUGAUAAUCUCAGGCUUCAGUGUAACUUGGUGGAAGGGUUUUCUCCCGUCCUUUCAUUAAGGGUGGAUUUCGUGAUCUUCCUUAAAUAACAACAAGGAUUCUCAUGAGGAAUCUCCCUCCCAAAAACUGAUUGCAUCACCAUUAGGAAAUAGGAAGCCAAGAAGCUAGAAAAAAGCAGGAUCACAGGUUAGUUCAAGGGCCAAAGCCCUGCAGAGUGAAUGGCUCCUGACUUUAUGGGAUGGGAGAAAAAGAGGGAAUUGGAAGUAAUUUCUGAUCACAGAGUGAAGCUUUUGACAUCAGGGUUCUGCCUGGAAGAGUUGUGCACAUGAGCUAUGCCAAGCUGCUAGCCACAAGCCUGACCAUGAGUCUGGCUGUGGAGCAAAGCCCCAUCCUCCUUGUCCUGCACCUCCUCGGUGUGAAGAGAAACAUCCUGUCUCAUUUCAGCCUGGCUUGGUACAGCAUCCUCCUCUCCAGCCCCAAAUUCAGUAUGUCUGGCUAUUGCCUGGGAAAGGAAAAUACCCAACUCAUCAACCAUCUCCAUGAGUCUCAACCAGGUGGCCAAGAGGAGGAGAAGGAAAGAGUUGGCUGUCUUAGUGGGGGUGGGUAGUUUCAGGAAAUAAUUAUCCCAGAUGCCAGAAUAGGAGAAAAUGGAAAGUGUAAACUGUAAUCAGAUGUUAAGUUGCUUUUCUUCUGCUAAUUGAAAUAAUGUUUUCUCUGCUACCCACCACUCUACCCCUUUCAGAUGCUAAUCCCUAUCAAACACAGCCUUACAAUUACAAAUUCAUAGGCAUCUUUCCCAGGAGCAGAAAUUGCUUUGCCCUGUAACCUCUAAGAUGAGGUCUUAAUAGGAAUUCAGGAGCAAUCUCUGGUAAAGCUUCAUUAGCUGGAGAGAAUAGACAAGGGCAAGUUGCAGUGCUCCCUAACCACUCUAGGGAAAAAUUAAUUUAAAUCACUUUGUGAAGUAACAAGGCCAGAUAAUAUGUUUCCUUCUUGGAUUAUUGUUUUCUGACACCCUAAUACGCUGCUAGAUUAGGUUGCUUUGCCUGCCUUGGUGGUGGUCCGUGCAAAAGUUGUGGUUUAAGGAGAGCAGCAGCCUCUGGAAAGAGAAACACCAACCCCUUGGGCCAGAGCUGGAUGGAGACGAAGCGAGGAUCUGGCUGUUUCUCACCAGGUUGGGUUGUUGGGAGGCUGUUGGGGAGACAGGUGACAGCCACCUCCAGUACAACUUCCAACAGAGCCUGGAGGAGAAACUUGGCUAUUGAAUGUUAGACUUCAGUGUUCCCCUGGUUGAAAACUGGUCCAAGUCAGUGGAAGGGUAUCCUGCUGAUUCAGACAGCUCUGGAUUUCCUACGUGGAGGCUGGAGCCUGAGCAAUGCUGAGCCCCCUGUUCACGAAGGAUGGACUAAGGCUGGAUGCUCUUCGUGCUGGGCUUGCAGUGUGAUGUGGUUUUAUGGAGCUUUGCAGGGAGCCAAGCGAGGGGCCACGGGAAGAUGCAGCGAUAAGGGCUUGGCAGAGGGGCUGGGACUCGUCCCAGAGCCCCAGGCUCACAGACAGACUUCGGUGGGUGCUGCCAGCACCAGGCAUUAUUAACCUGGGAGCUGUCAUGCAGAAUGGGCCUGUCUGGCUAAACCCUGAGGGGGAUGAGGGCAUCAUUCAACAAAGAGACAAAGAGUUCAAAGGGCCUUUCUGUGGCAAACAGUGCUGAUCAUCUCAGCUGAUUAAAUAGGUUCCCGACACAUCAGGGAGCACCUAGGAGACCACACUGAAGCUGGGAAGAUUUAUGGGGAGCUACCUGAAUUGGAGAGGGAAUAUAUUGGUUUUAUUCCUGGCUUCCAAAGGGGACUGGUGGUUUUUUCAAAGCAAAGACAAGGCUGGAGAGAGAUGCAUCGAGGUAGAGGGAUGGACGGACAGAUUCCCAACCUAUCUAACCAUUUUCUUGUCCCCACUUACACUGGGGAAGAUAAAAACCCCAUGGCACCUAGCUCUACCUUCUGCCAUCCUCCCAUCCAAAACUGCAACACUUAAAUGGGAUAAAACCCUCAAGGAUGGGGUUUCAUGUCACCUCAGCUCCUGCAGUCACUUGAAUUUCUUUCAUCCCCAUCAGCAAUCCCUUGCCUUCCAAGCCCUGAUAAAUUCUGGACCACCUUUGCUGACUAUGAGCCCUAUAAUUUGACUGCUCUGAGCGCAAUUAAGGGCACCCUGGAGUCCUGCUUGCCUUUGCUAUCUUGCAACAGGCAGGGCCUGGCCUCCUGGAAAGCAGAGGAGCAUCAGGGAAGGCUAUAUCCCAUGAGGAAGACAUCCCUGUGUGACCCUCUUGGUCCCCAAUGGGUACAGAAGAGCCUGUUUUCAGUAACAUCUCCUGCUCAGCACCAUUUGAGGACGGUGCUUUCCUUCCUCUAGUCCCCACAGCCUUACUGGAGCAAAGGAAGAGCCCCAGGCAGAGUGAAGAGCAUCCUCGAUGCAGGAGAUCAGCCUUGAACAUCCUUGAAACAUGGGGUUCAACCUGCCAGUGCCCUGCCAGCUGGCACCAGCCCUAUUUAUUUCCACACUCAUCCUCAACAGCAGCAUGUUUUCAGGUGGCACCUCUCUUCUUUCUCAUUACCAGAGCUUUUGUCAGGCAUCUGAAGGGGAAAAAACAAUAAAGGGGCCGUGGUCAGCAAGAGAGAAA